GGCCCGGUAGCUCAGUUGGUCAGAGCAGCGGACUCAUAAUCCGUCGGUCCUGGGUUCGAGUCCCAGCCGGGCCA
rnacentral:tRNA from 1 species